UAAACGACUCUCGGCAACGGAUAUCUCGGCUCACGCAUCGAUGAAGAACGUAGCAAAAUGCGAUACUUGGUGUGAAUUGCAGAAUCCCGUGAACCAUCGAGUUUUGAACGCAAGUGCGCCCGAAGCCA
rnacentral:rRNA from 1 species